GACGAACGCUGGCGGCGUGCCUAAUACAUGCAAGUCGAGCGGACGGAUGGGUGCUUGCUCCCAGACCGUCAGCGGCGGACGGGUGAGUAACACGUGGGCAACCUGCCUGUAAGACUGGGAUAACUCCGGGAAACCGGGGCUACUACCGGAUAACUCUUUCCCUCACAUGAGGGAAAGCUGAAAGAUGGCAUCUCGCUAUCACUUACAGAUGGGCCCGCGGCGCAUUAGCUAGUUGGUGAGGUAACGGCUCACCAAGGCGACGAUGCGUAGCCGACCUGUGAGAGUGAUCGGCCACACUGGGACUGAGACACGGCCCAGAGUCCUACGGGAGGCAGCAGUAGGGAAUCUUCCGCAAUAGUCGAAAGUCUGACGGAGCAGCGCCGCGUGAGAUGUGAAGGUUUUCGGAUCGUAAAACUCUGUUGUCAGGGAAGAACAAGUACCGGAGGAACUGCCGGUAGCUUGACGGUACCUGGCCAGAAAGCCACGGCUAACUACGUG
rnacentral:rRNA from 1 species